rnacentral:rRNA from 1 species
GAUGAACGCUGGCGGCGUGCUUAACACAUGCAAGUCGAACGAACCUUCGGGUUAGUGGCGGACGGGUGAGUAACGCGUGAGAAUCUGCCCUCAGGAGGGGGAUAACGGCUGGAAACGGCCGCUAAUACCCCAUAUGCCGCGAGGUGAAAUGAAUUUCGCCUGAGGAUGAGCUCGCGUCUGAUUAGCUAGUUGGUGGGGUAAAGGCCUACCAAGGCUUCGAUCAGUAGCUGGUCUGAGAGGAUGAUCAGCCACACUGGGACUGAGACACGGCCCAGACUCCUACGGGAGGCAGCAGUGGGGAAUUUUCCGCAAUGGGCGAAAGCCUGACGGAGCAACGCCGCGUGAGGGAUGAAGGCCUCUGGGCUGUAAACCUCUUUUAUCAAGGAAGAAGAUCUGACGGUGCUUGAUGAAUAAGCCACGGCUAACUCCGUG